GAAACUUAUGUGCAAACUCAAUAUAUUCAUCUAUGUGGUCAACUGAUGGGAAGUAGAAUCAGAUAUUUCAGUUUCAAUACUAUCAAGAAAAAGAAAAAUCAGUUGUGAUUCCAAGAAGAGAUGAACUCAGUUGCCCUGUAGAAAAGAAGACCCGUCUGGCCAAUACUACUGAUACUAAGUUGGAGCACCUUGGUGUACAAACCCUCCUGGCAUGUCUCUAAUGGCAAGCUGCAAAGUUUUGACCUCCUUUUCUGCUUAAUAAAAACAGACUCAGGUAAGUGAGAGUAAGAGAGUGUAUGAAUUAAUAUUUUUAGAAAAUUUAGUGUUAAAAAAAUAGCACAACUAUUUACUGGUUUUACAUGAAGGCCAGCAUG
rnacentral:lncRNA from 1 species